UUCUUGUUGAGCGCUCAGGACCAAGACCUGUGGUUGUUACUUGUUAAAAUCACAGGGUUGUUUGCAAGUUAAUGCAUUACCUUUGUGGGGACAAGCCAGUGCCAUCUGUGAAGGUCUGUAGGAGCUGUGGUUGGGUCCUGCCCCAGCACAGUUUUCACAUGCUGCUUCUCCUGCCUUCAGACAAGUUCUUCUUUGUCACAGUGUUUGGCAUGCACUGAAAUUUCUACAGGAAUUGGAAGUUUUCAGGUGGGUCAGAUGGGUCCCAGUAUGGAUUUUUACCCCAGAGUGGUUUGUACUUUUCUUGACAGAAAUCAAAGACUGCAAGUGCAUCCUACCUAGACUGCUCAAGUGACAAGUGACAGGCUGAUGCUAAAGUGACUGCAGUGUCAGCUGCUGAGAGCCUCCGGCAAUGUGCAGCAGGGCUGAAAAAAAGAAUAACUUCCAAAGGAACCACAGCACAGCAUGGAAAAACAUGCCAGCAAUUGCACAGGAUGCAGUCUGGGUCGAUGCUGUAUCUUUAUGUGCUUGUCUGUCUGCUCAGUGUGGACACAUUUCCGCAUGCUGCACCAAUUCCUGUGCAUCUGUACCUCCUGAAGGGCACUGCCAGCAGGAAUUCUCCUCCUUCAGUCCUUGUGCCUGCCUGUGCUCAGAUCCUCUCGCCCACAGUUGCUGCCAAGCCCUAUCUGUGACCUCAGCCCAGCGAGCGCCUGCGUGGGCACAGCUUUGCACUUCUGGUGCUUCAGUGGCGUGUGAUGCUCACUGCCUUAUGCUCCAGUGGCUGAGAUCUGAUCUCUGA
rnacentral:lncRNA from 1 species